rnacentral:rRNA from 1 species
UACGUAGGUGGCAAGCGUUGUCCGGAAUUAUUGGGCGUAAAGCGCACGCAGGUGGUUUCUUAAGUCUGAUGUGAAAGCCCACGGCUCAACCGUGGAGGGUCAUUGGAAACUGGGGAACUUGAGUGCAGGAGAGAAGAGUGGAAUUCCACGUGUAGCGGUGAAAUGCGUAGAGAUGUGGAGGAACACCAGUGGCGAAGGCGACUCUUUGGCCUGUAACUGACACUGAGGCGCGAAAGCGUGGGGAGCAAACAGG